UUUUUUUUUUUUUUUUUUUUUUUUCCUGAGUGCUUUAAGCCAACACCCCUUCAGUUGUGUCUGCCCCAUACUGCCAAUAUGCUGUGGGUGAGGAGCAUCAUGUACCUCAAUUCAGUUAAGCUGUGUCCUACAGCUGUUGCCAGUAAGAAAGAGAAGUCUGCUUUAGGGUUGUGAGAGAGCUGGUGAACACAAGGGUGACAGCUAGAGUGAUUCCAGUGUUCCUAAUCAUACCAUACACACGCUGCCUGAGCACUCACUGUUUAACCAAUGGUGCCCUGUGAUAUGUUUUUAUUAAGCAGAUUUUUUUUCCAGGUGUACUUGGUCACUUCUGCUUUCUAAUCACAUUUAUUACUCUCAUCUGAGGCUAAUUUGAGAUUCCUGGUGACAGGAAUUAUCUAACGGCACUGACAGUUUGGAGACUCUGUCAUGAUCCCUGUUGCAACUUAAGAUAUGGAUCUCAGUGGCUGUUCUGUGUGUUUUUGUUAAGACUAGCUCUGGAGCCUUAGCUAGCUGCACAAAAAUAGAGAACCUCCAUGUGAUGACAUGGUGAAUAGUAGUAUCCUGACAUAAAAUUUAGUUUCUUCAAAGAAGGGAAGAUCUGAAUUUCUUUCCAGGAAGAUUGGUUGCAUUUCUGGAUCCAAAGAUGAUUGAGGCUGGGUAUGCUGUUGGAAAAGGAAGAAUUGCCUGUUAAAAGGUGAAUAAUUCUAAAGGAUGCUGAGAUGUACUCUGGCCACGUGAUUUGGCCAUGGGGGCAAUAUUGUAUAAUGACAUUAAGUGCAACAGGAUUAAAUGGAUGAAGAGAUAAGAGGAGCAAGAACUUGCGACUAAGCAGUACAUAGUACAGCUGCUGAACUGCAGAAUAGGUGGAUGAUAACGUCAAAGUACAGACGUUCCGAGAAGUUUGUUUUACAGAGUCCCUUGUGCAAUGCAUCAGUUCCUGAGCAUAAUUUGGAAACCGAACAGCAUGUGACUAUUGGUUGCUUCUGGUGAGACUGUCAGCUGAGGUGGGUUGCCCUCGGUGUUCCCUGAAUGCAGUGUGCCAUGAGGAAAAGCUAGUGUUCUUUUUCUUUUCAAGUGUUCAGCUGUGUUUGGCAGAUUUUAUAAAUAUAGCAUUAUUACAAUUAUUGUUAUUAUUUGUUGUCAUUAUAUAUUUAUAAAUACCACAACUACA